UGUCUUUUUCCGCUUUGCUGCUG
rnacentral:miRNA from 2 species